rnacentral:rRNA from 1 species
CCUACGGGAGGCAGCAGUGGGGAAUAUUGCACAAUGGGGGAAACCCUGAUGCAGCGACGCCGCGUGAGUGAGGAAGUAUUUCGGUAUGUAAAGCUCUAUCAGCAGGGAAGAAAAUGACGGUACCUGACCAAGAAGCCCCGGCCAACUCCGUGCCAGCCGCCGCGGUAAUACGGAGGGGGCAAGCGUUAUCCGGAUUUACUGGGUGUAAAGGGAGCGUAGACGGUGUUGCAAUUCUGAUUUGAAAAUCCGGGGCCCAACCCCGGAACUGCAGUGGAAACUGGUGUUCUACAGUGUCGGAGAGGCAAGUGGAAUUCCUGGUGUAGCGGUGAAAUGCGUAGAUAGCAGGAGGAACACCAGUGGCGAGGGCGGCUUGCUGGACGAUGACUGACGUUGAGGCUCGAAAGCGUGGGGAGCAAACAGGAUUAGAUACCCGGGUAGUC